rnacentral:rRNA from 1 species
GACGAACGCUGGCGGCGUGCUUAACACAUGCAAGUCGAACGGAAAGGCCCUGCUUUUGUGGGGUGCUCGAGUGGCGAACGGGUGAGUAACACGUGAGUAACCUGCCCUUGACUUUGGGAUAACUUCAGGAAACUGGGGCUAAUACCGGAUAGGAGCUCCUGCUGCAUGGUGGGGGUUGGAAAGUUUCGGCGGUUGGGGAUGGACUCGCGGCUUAUCAGCUUGUUGGUGGGGUAGUGGCUUACCAAGGCUUUGACGGGUAGCCGGCCUGAGAGGGUGACCGGCCACAUUGGGACUGGGAUACGGCCCAGACUCCUCCGGGAGGCAGCAGUGGGGAUUAUUGCACAAGGGGCGGAGGCCUGAUGCAGCACCGCCGCGUGCGGGAUGACGGCCUUCGGGUUGUAAACCGCUUUCGCCUGUGACGAAGCGUGAGUGACGGUAAUGGGUAAAGAAGCACCGGCUAACUACGU